rnacentral:rRNA from 1 species
GACGAACGCUGGCGGCGUGCUUAACACAUGCAAGUCGAACGGUGAAGCGCCUUCCUUUUUGGUGGGUGUGGAUGAGUGGCGAACGGGUGAGUAACACGUGAGUAACCUGCCCCCUUCUUCUGGAUAACCGCAUGAAAGUGUGGCUAAUACGGGAUAUUCUGGGUCUGUCGCAUGAUGGGUCUGGGAAAGAUAUUGUUUCGGUGGGGGAUGGGCUCGCGGCCUAUCAGCUUGUUGGUGGGGUGAUGGCCUACCAAGGCGGUGACAGGUAGCCGGCCUGAGAGGGUGGACGGUCACACUGGGACUGAGACACGGCCCAGACUCCUACGGGAGGCAGCAGUGGGGAAUAUUGCACAAUGGGCGCAAGCCUGAUGCAGCGACGCCGCGUGAGGGAUGGAGGCCUUCGGGUUGUGAACCUCUUUCGCCAGUGAAGCAGGCCUGCCUCGUUUGUGGGUGGGUUGACGGUAGCUGGAUAAGAAGCGCCGGCUAACUACGUG